rnacentral:tRNA from 1 species
CUUUAGCUCAGUGGUUAGAGCACUGGUCUUGUAAACCAGGGGUCGCGAGUUCAAAUCUCGCUGGGGCCU